rnacentral:rRNA from 1 species
GCACAAGCGGUGGAGCAUGUGGUUCAAUUCGACGCAACGCGAAGAACCUUACCUGGGCUCGAAAUGCAGUGGACCGGGGUAGAAAUAUCCCUUCCCCUUAAAAGGCUGCUGCAUAGGUGCUGCAUGGCUGUCGUCAGCUCGUGUCGUGAGAUGUUGGGUUAAGUCCCGCAACGAGCGCAACCCUUAUCCCUAGUUGCCAUCGGGUCAAGCCGGGCACUCUAGUGAAACUGCCUGGGAUAACCAGGAGGAAGGUGGGGAUGACGUCAAGUCCUCAUGGCCUUUAUGUCCAGGGCUACACACGUGCUACAAUGGUCGGUACAAACCGUCGCAAACCCGCGAGGGGGAGCUAAUCGGAAAAAGCCGGCCUCAGUUCGGAUUGGAGUCUGCAACUCGACUCCAUGAAGCUGGAAUCGCUAGUAAUCGCGGAUCAGAACGCCGCGGUGAAUACGUUCCCGGGC